UACGGGGGGGGCAAGCGUUGUUCGGAAUUACUGGGCGUAAAGGGCUCGUAGGCGGCCAACUAAGUCAGACGUGAAAUCCCUACGGCUUAACCGGGGAACUGCAUCUGAUACUGGAUGGCUUGAGUUCGGGAGAGGGAGUGCGGAAUUCCAGGUGUAGCGGUGAAAUGCGUAGAGAUCCGGAAGAACACCGGUGGCGAAGGCGGCCCGCUGGGCAGUCGACGUGACGCUGAGGCGCGACAGCGUGGGAGCAACGAGGA
rnacentral:rRNA from 1 species